GCCGCUAUAGCUCAGUGGUAGAGCACUGGUCUCGUAAACCAGGGGUCGUGAGUUCGACCUCACUGGCGGCA
rnacentral:tRNA from 1 species